AGUAUCAAUAUGAUUUUUCUUUCUUUCUUUCUUCUUUUUGCUUUUGAGUGCCACAAGAAUACAAAAUUGCAGAAAUAACUGGUCAUCUUUUUUCAGGUUCAGUUUAGUAAUCACUAUGGUCUACUGUUGAUGCUUGGUUAUGGUUUCUUUUGGGUGAUUUCCAAUUCAUCAGUUCUCAAGGUAAUGGAGGUGUGCUUAAUGCUCUCGAAUUUCAAAUAUUUUGAUAUGUAAUUUCAAAUUCCUUUUAAUAAUAUAACAAUGAUUCAAAUAUUUUAAAUACGUAUAGGUCAUCUUCAGUUAAUAGAGUAAAUAAAAAGAAUUGAACAAAUUUGUAGGGGCUAUAAUGAUCUAUGUCAAUACAGACAUGCCCACACAUAUAGCAAGCUAAAUGUGUGAGGAUGAAUAAUAAUAACAACAAGGAGAACAAGUAGGAGGAUCAUGAAAGUCUGCUGAAUGCUGAUGUAUAACAAGUAGGGUGAUGUUCUCAUUUUUCGAGAUGGUCAUCCCAUU
rnacentral:lncRNA from 1 species